rnacentral:lncRNA from 1 species
UGACGAGAGAUGACUGAUUUCCUCACAAGGAAGAAGAACUUGAAGAUUCAAAGUGAGGAUGAUUGCUGUGUAUACUUCUCUCUUGUAAAAAUGUUCUUCUUCUUGUAUUAUUGUAUUCUUCCCUUCUUGUCUUGAUUUUUGAGGUUCCCUCCAAUAUAUGUCCCAGCUCAGAAAGGGAAUUUGAAAUCAAAUUCUAGCUGUUCUGACAUUUUUCUUUCUGUUAGAGGAAAAAGACAAAAUCUGUUGCGAGAAAAAAAAACUAGCCGUUUUAGAGCUGCUAGCGAAGUAGGGGUCGCCUCAUUCAUUCAGGGGUCGACUCACGUGAUGCAAGAGUCGACUCAUGACAAACA